rnacentral:rRNA from 2 species
UCGAGCGGACAGGUGGGAGCUUGCUCCCUGAUGUUAGCGGCGGACGGGUGAGUAACACGUGGGUAACCUGCCUGUAAGACUGGGAUAACUCCGGGAAACCGGGGCUAAUACCGGAUGGUUGUUUGAACCGCAUGGUUCAAACAUAAAAGGUGGCUUCGGCUACCACUUACAGAUGGACCCGCGGCGCAUUAGCUAGUUGGUGAGGUAACGGCUCACCAAGGCAACGAUGCGUAGCCGACCUGAGAGGGUGAUCGGCCACACUGGGACUGAGACACGGCCCAGACUCCUACGGGAGGCAGCAGUAGGGAAUCUUCCGCAAUGGACGAAAGUCUGACGGAGCAACGCCGCGUGAGUGAUGAAGGUUUUCGGAUCGUAAAGCUCUGUUGUUAGGGAAGAACAAGUACCGUUCGAACAGGGCGGUACCUUGACGGUACCUAACCAGAAAGCCACGGCUAACUACGUGCCAGCAGCCGCGGUAAUACGUAGGUGGCAAGCGUUUUCCGGAAUUAUUGGGCGUAAAGGGCUCGCAGGCGGUUUCUUAAGUCUGAUGUGAAAGCCCCCGGCUCAACCGGGGAGGGUCAUUGGAAACUGGGGAACUUGAGUGCAGAAGAGGAGAGUGGAAUUCCACGUGUAGCGGUGAAAUGCGUAGAGAUGUGGAGGAACACCAGUGGCGAAGGCGACUCUCUGGUCUGUAACUGACGCUGAGGAGCGAAAGCGUGGGGAGCGAACAGGAUUAGA